ensembl:misc_RNA Metazoa_SRP Metazoan signal recognition particle RNA
GCCAGGUGUGGUGGUGCACACCUGUAAUCCCAGCUACUCGGGAGGCUGAGGCAGGAGGAUUGCUUGAGCCCAGGAGAUCGAGACCUCAGUGAGCCAAGAUUGCUCACUGCCCUGCAGCCUGGAUGACAAAGUGAGACCCUGUCUCAC